GUGUGGGAUUUGUGAUGCCACUCAACAGGUGGCAUUACAUAUUCAAGUCUGCUUCCGACGGAAAGUGCUCAUUAGAGGUGGCAUGGCACCUGUGGACACCAGUGCAAGCAGGUGAAAGCAGCCUGACUGGACAGGCCUGCCGGACAAUGUGCCGCGCAUCUGGGAAGCUUCCGGCAACACCGGAGAAAGUGGCUGCUUUGAAGAACUGCCUGGAGAAAUACAUAAGUGACCAUCCAAUGAUGCCACCUGCACCACAUCCGGAGAACCACCUUGCUUCCCUGCGAAAGCACCUUUGGAGCUUUCUUUUACACAAGCAGGACGCCAGGGCAAGGGAGUGGAAAAGUAAAUACAGUACAAGUCCAGUGAGGCUUUUUCAAUAAAGUGUGAUGAUAUGCUA
rnacentral:lncRNA from 1 species